rnacentral:lncRNA from 1 species
UUUUGGGAGUGUGUGGAAAUGGGUGGCUUGGAGGCAAAAAGAAGUAAAAUAAAGAAAAAAACAAAAGGAAUUCCAGUGAAAUGCCUCCCUCUGACAUUGGUGCCUGUGUGCUCAAGCAAAGACAACCAACUGAGCAGGAGCCUAUGCCAGCUCUGUGCCACUUGACUCUGUGAGCACAGCAACCUGUCCUGCAUAGGAGACUGCUCCUGCCAGCAUUUUGUGCUAUCCCGGUGGACAGGUACUACCUGGGUGUACACAUAAGGUGUGUAUCUUGUGCGUGCAGUGUGAACCUCUCAACAAGCACACUGACUGAGUGUCAGAGGAGGCCAGGUAUCCAUCUUCUGUCAGCACUGGAACUGAUCUGGGGCAGAAAUGAGAGAGGAGCCGAGCAGCUGUAGCAGAGUGUAGCAGUGUGCAUGUGUGACAGCAGUAGAGAGCAGAGUAGUUGGGGAUUAGGUUACAGUGGCAGAGGUAGGAGGUGUAAACAGCAGAUAAGAUAGUGGGUUAGGAUUCAGGAAAUGGCGAAGGAUAGGAAGUGGAGUUGCUGGGGUCAGGUUAGGAGUAAAGGGGUCUUACAGGUAGGAGGAUACUGGUGGGUGACUUAUCUGCUAGCUGUGAAGUGAAAUGUGACGUUACGGAGCGCCCAGCUUGGGGCUCUUGAGGAGCAGAGUGAAGUAGGAUGGGUCUGGCCUAUACCUUGCAAUAACUACACAGUUCUACUCUUAGCCAACUUGUUGGCUUCAGACCCCUUUCCAUGUGGAACAGGGGGGAUACAUGCUUGCCCAGGCAGGAGGGAGAAAAUGAAAAUGAGCAGGGUGUGAUUCCCAGUUUCCAUGGGUGGAACAAGGGCUGUGAACAGAUUCUGUAUCAAGUGAGCUCUGCAGAUGUGGAGGAGACAGAUGCUGCUGAUAGUGUUGAAAUCGGUCUCUGCUGCCCACUACUGAAAUAAAAUAUCCCCCUUUUUUUGUUUUCUGUUUUUCUAAUGCCUCUAACAGGGAGAAAGGUGCCCGAGCUUGACAGGGACCCGACCUGUCCAACCUGACACAUUGGUGCUCCCUGCUGAACCCCUCCAGCAGUAAGACCAGAGUUGGACCUUAAGCCUUUCGGUGGCUUGGGAGUGACAGGCACUUCUGCUUGUAUAUGUGCAGAAUGAAAGAACUGGAUGCAGUUUUUCUUUUAGUUGAUACUCUCCCUUCAUGCCAAAAUCCAGUGGAUCAUUUUAACUGAUUUUGUAUGUUUUGAUUUUACAGAGCUUUGAAGGGGGGACUGUGAUAAUCUCAAACCGCAGCUGUGGCUGCUUCCAUCAUCAGCAAUUUGAGCUUUUCCUUUUUAAAUCUAAUUUUAGCAUUUGCUUUUUAACAAGAGCAAUUUUGGAAACAAUCCUGGAUUGGGUUUGGUGACUAACUUGUGAUUCUCUCUUUCUUUCUGUUUGCGGUACCUGGUGCCAGGCUCUGGGUUCUCUCCCAUUCUCUCCUGAGAGCCUCUGAGGGAAAAUUAGCGCAUCAAGACUGUAACUAGUGAAAUUUGUACAACCAAAGAAA